AUACAGCUGACGAGUCCCAAAUAGGACGAAACGCGUGUCCUGGAU
rfam:Schistosoma curassoni strain Dakar, Senegal genome assembly, scaffold: SCTD_contig0007972